rnacentral:rRNA from 1 species
UGAGGAAUAUUGGUCAAUGGGCGGGAGCCUGAACCAGCCAAGUCGCGUGAGGGAAGACGGUCCUAUGGAUUGUAAACCUCUUUAGGCGGGGAGCAAUGCCGGGCACGCGUGCCCGGAGGGAGAGUACCCGNAGAAUAAGCAUCGGCUAACUCCGUGCC